rnacentral:rRNA from 1 species
GACGAACGCUGGCGGCGUGCCUAAUACAUGCAAGUCGAACGCAGUGGGGACGGGUGAGUAACACGUGGGUAACCUCCCAUCAGAGGGGAUACCACUUGGAAACAGGUGCUAAACCGAUACUGAUGGAUGGACCCGCGGUGCAUUAGCUAGUGGGUGAGGUAACGGCUAACCAAGGCCACGAUGCAUAGCCUAUCUGAGAGGGUGAUCGGACAAACUGGGAGUGAGACAAGGUCCAGACGCCUACGUGAGGCAGCAGUAGGGAAUCUUCGGCAAUGGACGAAAGUCUGACGGAGCAACGCCGCGUGAGUGAAGAAGUUUUUAGGAUCGUAAAACUCUGUUGUUAGAGAAGCGGUAUCUAACCAGAAAGCCACGGCUAACUACGUGCCAGCAGCCGCGGUAAUUC